AUGAGGGUGGAAGAUGCCGGAGAGCUGGAAGGCCUCGGGGCGCUGCAAAUCGCCGCCUGCAGAGGGAGGCUGGAGGUGUGCAGGUACCUGGUCGGGGAGCUGCGGGUAGAUGUGGACGGGGUCGACAAGAAAGGUCCAUUUCUGUUCGAAACCCUCGAUUUUGUUUCUGAUAUUUGCUUGAGAUUACUUACCACACUGACCGUGGGGUCAACCCUCAGAUUUAUUGGUUCUGUUCUGUGA
rnacentral:rRNA from 1 species